GUUAGGAUGGUUGAGUGGUCUAAAGUGCCAGACUCAAGUUUUGGUCUGAAGGUGUGAGUUCAAAUCUCACUUCUAACA